rnacentral:rRNA from 1 species
CCUACGGGGGGCUGCAGUGGGGAAUAUUGGACAAUGGGGGGAACCCUGAUCCAGCCAUGCCGCGUGUGUGAAGAAGGCCCUCGGGUUGUAAAGCACUUUCAGUGAGGAAGAACGCCUGGUGGUUAAUACCCAUCAGGAAAGACAUCACUCACAGAAGAAGCACCGACUAACUCCGUGCCAGCAGCCGCGGUAAUACGGAGGGUGCGAGCGUUAAUCGGAAUUACUGGGCGUAAAGCGCGCGUAGGUGGCUUGAUAAGCCGGUUGUGAAAGCCCCGGGCUCAACCUGGGAACGGCAUCCGGAACUGUCAAGCUAGAGUGCAGGAGAGGAAGGUAGAAUUCCCGGUGUAGCGGUGAAAUGCGUAGAGAUCGGGAGGAAUACCAGUGGCGAAGGCGGCCUUCUGGACUGACACUGACACUGAGGUGCGAAAGCGUGGGUAGCAAACAGGAUUAGAUACCCUAGUAGUC